ACAAGUGCAGAGUGAAACAAGUUGUUGUUGCUGAAACACAGCGAACAACGAAGAAAAUUUUCCACACAAUUUUUCGCCUCGCAUUGAAACGAAUUUUGGCGAUGAAAAAAUGUUUAAAAGUGCGUGCUAAAUAACUUUGAUAAAUGCACGGGAACGGCAAACGCAACAACGAAAGCAAUACCUUAAACAGUUUCAAAGUGAUUUUGGCAAACGGCGAAAGAAAAGUGAUAUAAAUCAAAAGGAGAAAAUUGUGAAACGAAGCUGCAGAUGAUAUAGGUGGCACAAAAGAGA